rnacentral:lncRNA from 10 species
AUGGUAACAGUUAUUUCUGUAUCAGUCUAUUUGUGCCAGAAGCAGACUUUUUGUUCUAAAAUACAGUCUAAGGCUAUACCUUUUUGAUGACAAAAUUAAGUAUCCUAUAAAAGUUGGAAGAGUUUUUAAAAUGUUAAGUACCUGGCAUGUAAAUAAAGUAAGUAAAAGUAUAAAUUAUUAAGUGCCUUGCAUAAUAGAUAUACUGCAGCCUCCUAAAAAUGCCAGUGACCGUUAUGCUGUAGGUUGUUAUUUAAAUAUAAUGGCACUUAAUUACCGUCUAAUUUAUCUUUAAAGCUGAGAAGGGGCUAAUUUUUCCUUUUGAUAAAAUUAUUUGAUCAAAUAGUUUUAUGCAGGUUUAGAAGUAGAUGAAUUACUGUAACAUUUAGAAAGACAUUCAAAGUUUAGUUUCUGAGAAAUAUUAUCAAAUAAUAGGAUGGAACAAAACUUUCUGGUUUGCAGCUACCAAUAAUAAAAUUGGCACUUACUAUAUAUUAAUGUUGGCUGGGCGUGGUGGCUCACGCCUGUAAUCCUAGCACUUUGGGAGACCGUAGAUCACUUUAGGUCAGGAGUUCAAGACCAGCCUGGCCAAUGUGGAGGAAACCCGUCUC